rnacentral:lncRNA from 1 species
GGCUAACUUAUGGACCAGGAGCUUCUGACUGAGAAGGCUCAGUGGAGGGUGGAUCAAUUGGCAAAGAGAGGAGUUGAGAUUAUAAACCAAGCUUACAAGUCGGCAUUCUCCACUGGCUUCAAGAGAUGCAAAGCAAUGACUGAGCCGCAUCUUCCUGUCGCACAUGCAGAGCUUCUGAAGACUAACCUCUUGGAUGAAAGUUUGAAGGUUGUAAUAGUAGAGAGC